UACGGAGGAUGCAAGCGUUAUCCGGAAUGAUUGGGCGUAAAGCGUCCGCAGGUGGCUGUGUAAGUCUGCUGUCAAAGAGCAAAGCUCAACUUUGUAAAGGCAGUGGAAACUACACGGCUAGAGUGCGUUCGGGGCAGAGGGAAUUCCUGGUGUAGCGGUGAAAUGCGUAGAGAUCAGGAAGAACACCGGUGGCGAAGGCGGGUCUCUGGGCAUCUCCUGACGCUGAGGCGCGAAAGCGUGGGGAGCAAACGGG
rnacentral:rRNA from 1 species